rnacentral:rRNA from 1 species
CUUUUUUUGAGAGUUUGAUCCUGGCUCAGGAUAAACGCUGGCGGCGUGCUUAACACAUGCAAGUCGAACGGAGUGGUCCUCCCGAAGACCUGAAGAGCUUGCUCGGAUGGAAUUCAUUUGGAUCACUUAGUGGCGGACGGGUGAGUAACGCGUGGGUAACCUGCCUCACACUGGGGGAUAGCAGUUGGAAACGACUGAUAAUACCGCAUAAGCGCACAGAUAGGCAUCUAUCAGUGUGAAAAACUCCGGUGGUGUGAGAUGGACCCGCGUCUGAUUAGCUAGUUGGUGAGGUAACGGCCCACCAAGGCGACGAUCAGUAGCCGGCCUGAGAGGGU